AUACAUAUAUAUGUAUAUGUGUGUGUGUGUGUGUGUAUACACACACACACAUACAUAUACGUAUAUGUAUG
rnacentral:pre_miRNA from 1 species